AGGUGACGGCACCUCCGGGGGGAAGAGGCUGGUGGGGGCCGAGGUGCCUGCGGACAGACGCGGUCUCCCCAGCUGUGGAUGGUUGUCUGUGUCCAGGGUCGCAGUGACCGCGUCACACGGAACUGAGGACUGGCUGGGCUUCUCAGGACCGUGCUGUUGGCUGGGUUUGCGCUCGGUGGCCGAGUCUUCUGUUGGUGUCUCCGGAGCAGCCCAGUGCCCUCGCGAUGCCUGCUCUUGGCGGUCCUGCCGGCUCUGCCUUGGGAAGGAGGCAGCGGAGAUCCGCAGUUCCCUUAGGAUGUGAUCCCAAGUCGUCGGUUUCCAUUUCUGGGGCAGCAGCGUCACAGGGAGGGUGCACCUCGUGCCCCGUCCUGCUCGUCUCCUCCUCUCUGCUAAUGGGACACAUGGGAGUUAGCAGGCGAAGCCCCGGACGAGAAGUGGAGGACGAGGUGUAGGGAGGGUGGGAGCUGACCCCUCGGGGACGAGGGGGCCGUGACCCCUGGCCCAGGGGGAGAAAUGUGCAGUUUUCACAGUGGGGACAGUAGGUCCUCACGGAAGGGCGAGUCAUGGACUCCUUGCCAAGUUAUUUAAAUACCGUGACUGUGGCCGUGAUUGUCAUUACUGUAUGGGAACUGGGGGUGAAUGUGGCUGAAGAAAGGAAAAAGGCUUGGGAUAAAUUCAGGAUAUAGCUUCUCUUCUUCUGGUUCUGGGGUUUUGCCUGAAAUGCCACUUUUAUUUUUGGUUGGGUGCUUUUUAGCACUUGUGUUACAGCAUUUGGAACACUAUUUUUGCGACAUGUUAGAUGUGAGGUGUGUAAAAUUAGAUUCCUAGAAAUCGGGCUGUGGCGCCCCUUCCACACUGCGUGGGUGGUGUCUGCGCACCCGGAAGUGACCCUGGCCACGCUCAUGUCUGCAGGACGCCUGACCCUUGCCGUGUCCUCCAGGUGUGGGCUCGCCAGCUCUUUGCAGCCUGUGUCCUGCCCCAGCUCUCCGGCUCUCGUGUCCCGUCUGUGGAGCAGACACGCAUUUACGAGUUACCUGCUUCCUCUUCCUCUGCCUGUGAUUCUUCCAUGUCCCUUGGCCACAGCUGCAUGAGACAGAACAUGGGGACCCAGGAACAUGGAGUCUUCAUUCAGACACCGAGGUCCAAGCCGAGUGACGUUCCGGCCGCAUCUGUACUUUCUGGCUCGCGGGACCAGGCCUUGCUCUCUGGCUCACGCUGCUGUGGUUUUAUUUCUCAAGGCUCGCUCUUUGCCUUCAGUUUUGACAACUGUGAUUUCGUUUCCCCGAUGAUGAAACGGUGGUGAGAAGGGUGUGGAGAGGAGGGGCAGGAAGGCAGGGCAGCUUGUGGUCUAGGGAGGAGGCGCUCUCUCAAGCAGAGGACCCCUGAGUGGAUCAGACCUGGGCAUCCUGCGAACAGGUGGCCCUGUGCUCCCCACGUGGCUGGUUGCCCGGGGACGGGACAGCGAGCAUGUUCGGCCUGAGGCCGGAAUCUCCCCUCUGGGAGUCUGAGCGUGAUCAGCAGAAUUAUCUCAAUUAGAGUUUCAGAACACGGAGGGGGCGGCUCGGGGAGGCCUCGUCAAUCCAGAGGGGAAACUGCAGCCAGGCAGGCUUGUUAAGUCUCAAGAAGGGAAGCCCUUUGCUGUUGAAGAUGCACCAGUUAGCACGUUAUCAGCGGUGACGUCGGGGGCGCUCGGCUCCUCUGGCCGUCGGGCUGCAGGAUAUGUUCUCUGGCUGCCACACGGGGACUGCCGUUGUCCCUGGCUGGUUCCUUCGCUGCGGCUCCUUCACUGGACGCUGGCCGGAGCCCUCCUUGGACAGAGCAAGUGGGACGGCCCGUGAGGACUGUGAGACGUGCGGCUGGCAGCCAUGACCCUGUCUGAAGAGACCCGCCUGCUGGUGUCCGCGGGCCCAGAUACACUGGCUGGGCCCUUCCGGGGGCAGCCAGGACCCUCUCCUCUGAGCCAUUUCUGGUGUUGCCCUCUCUUAAGUCCUUCACGAAGAGAACUUUGAUUUCUCAGGCUUAAGAAUUAAUCAGAAAACAGUUUAAUGUCCUUCUUGAGUUACUGGCCUUGCUGGGAACACUGUCCAGGUAGACUGUUACACCUGUGUCCCCAUCCUGGUGGAAGACUCUCAUCCAAAGAAAUAAUCCCUUGGCACUUCUGAGCUAGGGAGUUCAGUGAUGGGGAGAAUUGUGACUCACGACGACUCUAGCAAACUCGGGCGUUGGCUGUGACACGACUGAUGUGCAAGGCGCAUUGUGACUGGGGGGCGGGGAGUGGAUGUGCUUUACCUUAAAUCCCAUGUGUCCCCCAGAGGCCCCCCUCCCCAAGUCCUCUCAGGUCACAGAAUGGACUCGAGUUUUCCGUGACUUUUGUCCUCAUGUGGCAGGAGCCAGGACCCUGGGGUGGGACUCCCGUUGCUGUCUGGCAUCCAGGGCGGCUCUCGGCACCCCAGUCUUGCUUGCUCAUGUUGGGGUUUCUUUGGGGUUCUGUGCAGCUCUCUUUGUAGGAAGUCCUGUUGCUUCUGCAGGGCCUGGAAGGAAGCUGGAUCAGGAGAGGAAGUGGCUGGGACCCUGUGGAAUUCCUGGGGCCUUUGGCUUAAGGGAUGUACUUCAGUCCAGAGCUCGACCUGACACCCCAUCUUGGUGCACCCCCAAUAAAAACGUUGAGUGUGGCUUCUUCCCUCUUUCCUCAGGUGUCUCUCGCAGGUUUUGCACAUUACCUUGCUUGUCUGUUAACUAGUCAGUAAGGAGGCUCCUGCCACGGUGGUUGGCUGACAGGUCUCAAAGCACCAUCCUUGAAACACCGUGGAUGUGACCAGGGCACCUCUCAGGCUGUGGCACUGGGGGUGUGUGUGCAGGGAGGCGGGCCGAGGAGGACGGGAGGCCCAGAUGUAGGGAAAUGUGCCCCUUUCUGGUGGCCCCCGGGGAGAGUGGGCUGCCCGGUGAGGCUGGAGGGAGCUCAGGGAUGGGUCUCCUGAGCUCCAGGCACCGAGAGCUCGCCAGAAGGGGAAGAA